AGAAAGCCAUCACUUGGAUAGAUCACAACUUUUACACUAAGUAAAUAUGAAUUUUACAACAUAGUCAAAAAACUUGUAACCAGAAUACAUUUAUGAUUACAAAGGUCUUCUACGCUCUACUAGUACCUUUUCUUUUUCUAAUUUCUGCUUUCUAUUUCAAAUUUAAAAUUCAAGUCUAAAUUAGAGCUAAGUUAAAUUUUCUAUUUGAAGUAUAAAUUGCAACAAAUAAAAACUCAACAUGAAUGCAAAACAUUUUUUAUUAAUCAAUUUAUCCAUUUAAGCAAAUGCUUUAAACAAUACAUAUAACUAAGUAGGAAUAAUUCAUAUAAGAUGUUUUACCAUAAUAAUUAUUCAAGAAAAUAAUCCAAACACAUAGCCAAAAUUUUAUAUUUAACAUUUAUUUAAAUUUUAGGAAAAUAGUUUUAAUUAUAAUUUUAUUAUAAAGACACUUUAAAUUUGAAAUCUUUAGAUAUUUUUUCUGAAUCCUAAAAAUAAGAUUUUGGUGUGUUACAAUCGUUAAACCUUAGCCUAAUUCUUAUCACGCUUCCCUUGUAGUUAACUGCUUGUAUAUAUUGUAGAAUAAAGUAACUAUUGAGAAGGUUAAAGCUAAGAAAAAUCUUAAAUGCUAUCGGUAUAGAAAACAACUUCAACUUUGUGAAUAAAAGUGUAUACUGAUAUUAUAAUCGAGCUUUUUAUUUGAAAUUGUAAUAGAAGCUUGUAGUCAACAUUUUUAUGAAACAGUGACAAAAUAUUGUUGAUGAUGUCAAUAUUAUGAUUUUGGUGAGGAAUAUUUUGCCUCUAU
rnacentral:lncRNA from 7 species